rnacentral:lncRNA from 1 species
AGCAGCAAUUAGUGUUUGGCCAAGCUUUUAAAAAGUGUUUCUAAGUGUAUUUUUCUCAAAGCUUCUACUCAAAAACACUUUUUUUUUCUUCUAAAAGCUUUGUCAAACACUUCAACUUUCAGAAAAGGCAAAUUUUUUGGGUUGAAAAAAGUGCUUUUGGCUUGGAGAAGCUUGACCAAACUUGCUAUAAGAUUUAGACAUAAAAACAAACUUUAG